UUGUCUCAGACUAGCCAUGCACGUCUAGUACAAACUAAAUGAUGGUGAAACUGCAAAUGGCUCAUUACAACGGUUAUGAUGUACCCGGGAGUUCCGAUGGAUAUUUCCAGUAACACUAGAACUAAUACAUGUCCCUGCGUUUAUUAGUUUCGCACAGUCCGUCGCUGAGUCAUGGUAAACAGUUGAUCGACUCGACGUCCCGGAACAGUUUCCGCCCCAUCAGCUUCGAUGGUUGGGUAUUGGCCUACCAUUGCAACAACGGGUAACGAGGAAUUAGGGUUUGAUUUCGGAGAGGGAGCCUGAGAAACGGCUACCACAUCUACGGAUGGCAGCAGGCGCGCAAAUUACCCAAUGCAGACACUGUGAGGUAGUGACGAGAAAUAAUAAAGCGGGACUUCUGUUUCGCUAUUAUAAUGAGGAAUAACCAAAGGUCAUUCCGAUUAGCAACUGAUGGGAAAGUCUGGUGCCAGCAGCCGCGGUAAUACCAGCGUCAGUAGCAU
rnacentral:rRNA from 1 species